ACAUGCAAGUCGAACGUGAAGCCGGGCUUCGGCCUGGUGGAAAGUGGCAGACGGGUGAGUAACGCGUGGGAAUCUACCCAGUGGUACGGAAUAACUUCGGGAAACCGGAGCUAAUACCGUAUACGCCCUUCGGGGGAAAGAUUUAUCGCCAUUGGAUGAGCCCGCGUCGGAUUANCUUGUUGGUGGGGUAAAAGCCUACCAAGGCGACGAUCCGUAGCUGGUCUGANAGGAUGAUCAGCCACACUGGGACUGAGACACGGCCCAAACUCCUACGGGAGGCAGCAGUGGGGAAUAUUGCACAAUGGGCGCAAGCCUGAUGCAGCCAUGCCGCGUGAGUGAANAAGGCCUUAAGGUUGUAAAACUCUUUCACCGGUGAAGAUAAUGACGGUAGCCGGAGAAGAAGCCCCGGCUAACUNCGUGCCAGCAGCCGCGGUAAUACGGAGGGGGCUAGCGUUGUUCGGAAUCACUGGGCGUAAA
rnacentral:rRNA from 2 species